rnacentral:lncRNA from 1 species
GUUCCAGCAGUAACUAAAUGAACCAUAAUCAGUUCAUUCAUGAAGGUUGUGAUGGAUUGGAUCUUAAAUGUCCUCCAGAGUUGAUGGCACUAUCGUAAGGACCAUUGCUGACUCUGCAGCCUAUAUUGGACUAUAUCACAGGAUGUGGCUUAUCUGUUGUUUCUAGGCUUUAAUAAAUUCACAGUCCAGUGUAGAAGCCCCCUCAUUUCUCUGGAGGAGUCUAAGGAAGGCCAUCGCUCUUUUCUGAAAGAUCCAUCAGAUGAGACACAAAGCCUGAAUUCCAGCCCUUCCAAAAGCUGCAAGUUUUUUAAUGACAGUGACGAUGGCAUUGCCCUAUCCUGGUGGAUUACUUAGAACACUUCCAAGCACUUACAUAGUCAUGAUCUCAAAUGGCAUUUGGGUGAGAAUAGUUACUAUCAUCUU